rnacentral:rRNA from 1 species
GCAUAUCAAUAAGCGGAGGAAAAGAAACUAACAAGGAUUCCCUUAGUAACGGCGAGUGAAGAGGGAAGAGCUCAAAUUUUAAAUCUAUCAUGUUGUACAUGAUCGAGUUGUAAUUUGAAGAAGCGUUUUCUCGUACUUUAUGAUCAGUAUAAGUUCUCUUGGAACAGGACAUCAUAGAGGGUGAUAAUCCCGUCUGUUACUGAUUGUGAGGUUCGUUUAUGAUACGCUUUCAAAGAGUCGAGUUGUUUGGGAUUGCAGCUCCAAAUGGGUGGUAAACAUCACCUAAGGCUAAAUAUUUGCGAGAGACCGAUAGCGAACAAGUACCGUGAGGGAAAGAUGAAAAGAACUUUGAAAAGAGAGUUAAAAAGUAUGUGAAAUUGUUGAAAGGGAAACGAUUGAAGUCAGUCGUGCAGUCAUCAAUUCAGCGGUUAACAUUUUAUGUUUCCGUGUAAUUUGGUGUCUGUUGGUUAGCAUCAAUUUUGAUUGUUAUAAAAAGGUUAAGGGGAUGUGGCUCCUUCGGGAGUGUUAUAACCCUUAGCGUAAUGUGACGAUUAGGAUUGAGGUUUGCAACGAAUACCUUUUAGGACAGUUUCACCUGGCCUCUCGUGGAAUUAUAGAUAGUUAAGAGCAUGCUCUUACUGUCUAUGAUUCUACGAAAAGGUUGGAGUGUAAAACUAAUUCGUUAAGGAUGUUGACGUA